AUUGUAUUUUGCUUCAGGAGAUUGAGGUUCCGCUGAACGAAAAGGGGUCAAAAGAUGUGGUUCUAAUGGAAAUCCAGAAUCACCUAGCCAGGUGUUCGGACCAAAUCAUCAGCAACCAUUUGUUUCAAAUCACUAUUGUUCCAAAUAAAAGCAUCAUGAGUAGAUCCUGGAUGUCUAGCAUCAACAUACCGUAUCCGCAUUUGGUAAUCGCACAUCUACAAAAAAACAAAAAUGAAAUGUCGUACAAAAUAACCAUACAAGAUAACUCACCAGUAAAACAUUCAAACUGAAA